rnacentral:rRNA from 1 species
AUGAAGUGGCAGCCGUUCAUGUCCACGUUCGUGCUGAACAAGAUGUGCGAGAUCAUCUCUAGUGGAGUUAGGACUGACAAGGGCUUCAAGGAGGUGCACUUGAACACCGUUGCGAAGCAGGUGUUCGAGUUCUGUGGGCAGGAUGUGUCUGCCACCCAGCACAUCUUCUCCUUCGGGCUGGCAACUGGGAAGCAUGCCAUGGGCUCGGGGGAGCCUCUUGGUUCUCCCAUGCCAGACUUCCCUGGGACCCCGGACGUCGAGGUCCUUGAUGGCCUGACAAGCCCUUCGUGA